rnacentral:rRNA from 1 species
UACGUAGGGUGCGAGCGUUAAUCGGAAUUACUGGGCGUAAAGCGUGCGCAGGCGGUUUUGUAAGCCAGAUGUGAAAGCCCCGGGCUUAACCUGGGAAUGGCAUUUGGGACUGCAAGGCUGGAGUGUGGCAGAGGAGAUUGGAAUUCCUGGUGUAGCAGUGAAAUGCGUAGAUAUCAGGAGGAAUACCGAUGGCGAAGGCAGGUCUCUGGGCUGACACUGACGCUCAUGCGCGAAAGCGUGGGGAGCGAUCCGG